rnacentral:misc_RNA from 1 species
GAUGAAGAACGCAGCGAAAUGCGAUAAUUAAUGUGAAUUGCAGAAUUCCGUGAAUCAUCGAGUCUUUGAACGCACAUUGCGCCUCAUGGCAUUCCGUGAGGCAGGCCCAUCUCAGCGUUAGAAAAUAUUCUCAAAUUUUAGUUUUGUGCUAAAAUUUGGAUCAUGUCAAAGAAGCUAUUACUAUUAUUGUGAUCGCUCUUUGGAAAUUGAUAGGUCUUUGAGUUGCUACUCAUAGAACGUGAUGAAUCUUUCUUCGUUCUAUUGUAAUUCACUCUGGUAGUCCUAAAACUUGUAUGCCUGUGGCAUAUCUUGUAAUUUGACCUGAGAUUGGGUAGGGAUACCCGCUGAACUUAAGCAUAUCAAUAAGCGGAGGA